AGUGCCAUCCAGUGGUCCAAGAAGGAAGAGCAGGUAGAAAAAGCACGGUUGCCGACAUUUUCUGUACCAGCGCUUCUCGGAGCGACCUUCCCAGCGUCAGCGCAACUUCCCGUCCGUCUCCUGUCCAACCCCCAUCGCCGUUGGAAAAAAACGACCUUUCAACUUUCAUUUUUACUUUUUCAGGGCUGCUCUUUUACCCUUUACCUUUAUUCCAACCUUUCUUCUCCCCUUCUCUUCCUUCCUCUCCUCCUACUUCCUUCGUUCUUCCUUCGUUCUUCCUCUUCUUCUCUUUCCUACUUCCCCUUCCCUUCCCCCACUCCUCUACUCCUCUUUCCCCUCCCUUUUCUUCCUCUCCUUUCCCCUUUCUUCUUUCUCCUGGUCUCUCCUGUCCUCUGUUCUCCCUUCCCCUCUCUUCUGUCGUUUCCCUUUCCAGUUCAAUCUUUUAGGGUUUAGGUUUUAGGUUUUAUGGUUUAGGGUUUAGGGUUUAGGGUUAGGGUUUUGUUUCGUCUCCUUUCUUGACUUCCGGUGGGACCGGAAUCAGUUGGCCAGCAUGUGCAUGCCCGCUGGAGUUGAGCUAGGGCAACACUCGCAUGCCCACCAAUAUGGCUCCGCAUGCCACAGGUUCACCAUCACGGGACUAGAGCUUCCCAUCUCCUCCCAAGGGAAGGGAAAGGAGGCACAGGGCAGGCAAGCCUGCCGGCUGUGGCACCCGUUCUCAGGACCUUUAGUUAUCGCUUAGAGCUCUUCGCAGGUAACCCCGGCCUGCAUUUUAUGGAAAGAAGCUGGGGAGGGGAGCUUUUGUGCAGGGCCGUUGACACCAUUGGGUGAUGCGAAAAAUCAAAAUCCAAGGGAAACCAUUAGAAUGUUGUUGUUGUUGUGUGUGCGCUUAUCUACAUAUACCCAGCUAGUUUAGAGACAUAAUACCAUACAACUUUUGGCAAUAAAGUUUCAGCCAAUAGAAACUUCUGGCUCAACGAUUCCAACACUUUAGGAAGUCUUUGACCGAGGAGCAUUCGGGCGAAUGCUCAACGGAUGGAGAAUGGAGCCGGAAGCCCUGCCGUGUUGCAGUUUGAAGCACCCGUGGGUGUGUGCAGAGAUUAAUCCACUCCGUCGGGAGAAAGAGCGCCUGUUUGGUGGAUAGGAGAGUCUCGGGGCCUCUUGGUAGAGACCCCUACGACCAAGCAACGAUUGCCAAGGAGGAGGUGAAAGAAGAGGAGCCCCAGCCCUUUCAGAAGAUCGGUCCAAGUACGAUUGACCGAGUUUGCAACUUAAGUCAUUGACCAGCUUUCAGUGUUUCAGAGCUGAGGUUUCAGGCCCAAGCCAGGGAUGGAGCGUUUCUGGCAAAGGCAGGAAGCUCUCACCAGUCCAAGAGAAAGAGCACAUUCUUUGCCCGUGCGGGACCCGGACUCCAUUCCUCUGGGCACGGCUGGUGACACGUUGGAAAAUCUUCCUGGGAUGUAUCUUUCACCGGGGUUUGUUUAAGGAGCACCGAUAGCAACCUCUAGGUUUUCCAAGGCGUAGCAGGCAGAAUAACUCCCAGGAUGUCCGAAAGCCACUCGGUAUCAGGUCUGCUCGUCGGUCCAUCUGUCCCACGACUAUCGGCACGGACCGGCUGCAGGGCUCUGAACAUCCGUUCAAGCAGAGGGGUUUUUCCCAGCCCUUCCCUGGAAACGCAGGGGUGAACCUGGACCUUUUGCACGCAAAGCAACAGCUCGAACUCGGACUGCGGCCAUCCGUCAGGAGACAAGCAACCUACUUGCAAAUAGCACUCCUAAGUAAACCAAAAAAUUAAUCUUCCACGUUUGACAUAGAGAAGAAACAAACACGGUUGAGUCGGGGAAUUAUAAAAUUAUUCUCGCUUAACGUUACAUACUUUUAUAAGCAUCUGGUUAAAACAAUCCAAUUUGGCCAAAGUAUUUAGAUGUAAAUACUUUAUUGCAAAGAGAAGGAAUUAAGCGCACGUUAUUUAUUUUAAUAAUUAUAUUCAGACCUAGGAAAAACAUUCCACUUGCAUUUCUCAUGACUUAAUUUUAGAAUUCACAAAGAGCUCUUCAUUAAAGGGGAAGAUAUCGUCUAAGUAUUGUCCUCUGGGAUAAAAAAAAGUACGUUACCAGGUUUUCUUCGGGAAUAGGGUGAAAUUGAGGGUGGGGAGCGAUAUUAAAACUAGAAAUCGAUCACGAUCUGAGAUGAUAACUACCCCUCGUAAGCGCUGAUGAGAGCGCGACUUGGCCUUUGCUGUCUGCGACGGUUUAUACAGCCCACUCCCAAACGCUACUUCUGCAAAAGGAAGUCUAGCCUCUGUAGCAGCCGUGUCUUUUCAGCCUCUCUCCAGGAAAGAGAGCUGGGGCAAAACAGAGGAAACAGUUAACACGAAGGUGGGCGCCCAGGGCCCCCUCGGUCAAGAAAACUUGGAACUCCAGCUGUGACACAGCAACCGGGGAGACCCCGGGAUCCAGGAUCUUUCAAGGCAGAGGCCAAUCGCACCUCUAAAGCGAUCACGAGGGACAGACCAGUACCGGCAUAUCUCCCUGAUAGCUGUCCUUUGGGGAUAUACUUUGAGAGAAGGAGUUGUUCCUAUUUCAGUGCAAAUAGUCAGGCCAGAUUGCCUAUAAUUGUUAAUACUAUAUUAAACCGUAAAUAAAAUUAUACCUGUAUUUUGCAGUUUA